rnacentral:piRNA from 1 species
UUCCGUUUUGGUUUGCGUUCA